rnacentral:rRNA from 1 species
GACGAACGCUGGCGGCGUGCCUAAUACAUGCAAGUAGAACGCACAGUUUAUACCGUAGCUUGCUACACCAUAGACUGUGAGUUGCGAACGGGUGAGUAACGCGUAGGUAACCUGCCUGGUAGCGGGGGAUAACUAUUGGAAGCGAUAGCUAAUACCGCAUAAUAUUGAUUAUUGCAUGAUAAUUGAUUGAAAGAUGCUAUUGCAUCACUACCAGAUGGACCUGCGUUGUAUUAGCUAGUAGGUGAGGUAACGGCUCACCUAGGCGACGAUACAUAGCCGACCUGAGAGGGUGAUCGGCCACACUGGGACUGAGACACGGCCCAGACUCCUACGGGAGGCAGCAGUAGGGAAUCUUCGGCAAUGGACGAAAGUCUGACCGAGCAACGCCGCGUGAGUGAAGAAGGUUUUCGGAUCGUAAAGCUCUGUUGUAAGAGAAGAACGGGUGUGAGAGUGGAAAGUUCACACUGUGACGGUAUCUUACCAGAAAGGGACGGCUAACUACGUG